AGAUUAAGCCAUGCAUGUGUAAGUAUAAACAACUUGUACUUGUGAAACUGCGAAUGGCUCAUUAAAUCAGUUAUAAUUUAUUUGAUAGUGGCAUUACUACAUGGAUAGCCGUAGUAAUUCUAGAGCUAAUACAUGCGUGUGGGGCUGACUCUAAUUAUGGGGAAAGUCUGUAUUUAUUAGAUCGAAAAGAAACCGAUUGGGCAGUGUGUUGCUCGGCAUUUAUGGUCUGUAAGGAUGGGUGAAAGGAGGUAUUUCUCUAUAAACCUGACGAUGAGUCAGGGGAGGGUAUUUCUUGUUUGCUCUUUGUCUGAUUAUGGACUGUGUCGGGACGCUUUUAGAAAGACAUGCUGUUCAUUUUUAAAAAAGUUUUAUGAGGAAUCAUGAUAAAAAUGUCGAAUCGGGGAUUAAGUUUCCUGAUGUGUCAUUCAAAUUUCUGCCCUAUCAACUGUUUGAUGGUAGGAUAGAGGCCUACCAUGGUUUUGACGGGUAACGGAGAAUUAGGGUUCGAUUCCGGAGAGGGAGCCUGAGAAAUGGCUACCACUUCCAAGGAAGGCAGCAGGCGCGCAAAUUACCCAAUCCCGAUAACAUUUUGGGGAGGUAGUGACAAAAAAUAACAAUGCAUUGGCACUUUCAGUGUGAUGUAAUUGGAAUGGCUGGGAUGUAAAUGCUCCCAGGAGUAACAAUUAGAGGGCAAGUCUGGUGCCAGCAGCCGCGGUAAUUCCAGCUCUAAUAGUGUAUACUAAAAUUGCUGCAGUUAAAAAGCUCGUAGUUGGAUUUUGGAGGGGACAUAAUAUGCUCUUAUGAAGGUUGAUUAUUUUUCUCCAGAUUUUGAGAAAGUGGGAUUCGUUCCGCUUGAUCAUUUCUGUGAGGGAAGCCUUUAAUCUACAGUUCUGUUUUGAUAGAGUCCUUAUUUUCGAAUACAUAACAACACUUGAGCUCUGUGUUUCUACCUCUGUUUUUUUCUUUUCUAUUAGCAAUAAUAGAAAGGGGAAAAAAAAUGUAGGAACAAAAACAGCAGAGUAUUUUUUAAAUCAAGAGUUGGGGGUUCUGUCGUUAGAAACAAAACAGUAGCAUAAGAGUUGUUUCUUCCGGUGUAUAUUUUCGGAGUAUGGUCUUCCCCUUAAAUGUGGAAAUUGAGGAUCAUAAUUCGGAGGGUUUACUUUGAAGAAAAUGGAGUGUUCAAAGCAGGCGAUUUGUCGCAACUGAACACAUUAGCAUGGAAUAAUAAAAUAGGACACUUGAGGGGAGAUGAGUUUGAAUGAGUUAUUAAAGGAUUUUUUCCUUUUUUGUGAUUCAUUGUGUUAAAAAUUUAUAAAUGAUCUCUCCUUUACAUUAAUGGGGGAAAAAAUAAACAGAGUGGCUGUAACAGGUUGUUUUGUUUGUUUUUUUCUCGGUAAUUCUAUUUUGUUGGUUUGUAGAACAAGUGUAAUGAUUAAGAGGGACAGUUGGGGGCAUCCGUAUUGCGUGGCUAGAGGUGAAAUUCUUGGAUUCACGCAAGACGAACGAGUGCGAAAGCAUUUGCCAAGGAUGUUUUCAUUAAUCAAGAACGAAAGUUAAGGGAUCGAAGGCGAUCAGAAACCGCCCUAGUCUUAACUAUAAACGAUGCCAACUAGGGAUUGGAGGGAAGCUUUUUAUAAUAUAGCCCCGUCAGGACCUGUUCAGAGAAAUCUUAAGUCUCUGGGUUCUGGGGGGAGUAUGGUCGCAAGUCUGAAACUUAAAGAAAUUGACGGAAGGGCACCACCAGGUGUGGAGCCUGCGGCUUAAUUUGACUCAACACGGGGAAACUUACCAGGUCCAGACGCGGGAAGGAUUGACAGAUUGAUAGUUUUUUCUUGAUUCCGUGGGUGGUGGUGCAUGGUCGUUCUUAGUUGGUGGAGUGAUUUGUCUGGUUAAUUCCGAUAACGAACGAGACCUCAACUAGUUAACUAGCCGAGAAAGUUUUUAAAGAUUCUCUAUUCUUUCAAUCCAAACUCUUGUAGUGUCUUUAUUGAUGUUGCAAGGGGGAAGGGUAGAGAGAAACUUUUUUGUUUCUGAUGUUUGUUGGAGUUUAUAAGUCAGGUCUAAAARRCAUUUGCAGGCUUCACGGCUUGUGAAUGWGUUUUUAGGUUUGAUGAAUCCAAUGAAUUGUUGGAAAGUUCCUUUGGGGUUUUAUGAAAUGCAGAUGGGUUUUUGAAGGUUAUUUCGGYAAUSUUCAGGGAUUUGUUUGUAUUUUGCCCAAGGGGGUUGGCUUCUUAAAAGGACUACCUUAGUUGCAUGAGGUGGAAGCAUGAGGCAAUAACAGGUCUGUGAUGCCCUUAGAUGUCCUGGGCCGCACGCGCGCUACACUGAUUGAUUCAACAAGUUUAAUGUCAUGCUUUAAGAAAUGGCUGUGGCUGUAACAGGCURUGGUUGGUUUCUGGUGUGAUUUUCCUUGCCCGAAAGGGUUGGGUAAUCUUUUGAAAGUCGAUCGUGAUGGGGAUUGACCUUUGUAAUUAUUGGUCAUGAACGAGGAAUACCUAGUAAGUGCAAGUCAUCAGCUUGCGCUGAUUACGUCCCUGCCCUUUGUACACACCGCCCGUCGCUCCUACCGAUCGAAUGAUGAGAUGAAAUGUUCGGAUUGUUGAUUUGCAGGGGUGUUUUCUGAGCAUCCUGGUGAAUUUGAUGAGAAGAGCAGUGAAUCUUAGCAUUUAGAGGAAGGAGAAGUCGUAAC
rnacentral:rRNA from 1 species